GCUGAGAUGGCCGAGUGGUUAAGGCGGUAGACUUAAGGACACACGCAUUGCCGUGUGUACAACAAGAGUUCUACUGACGAAAGUCGCGCGAGUUCGAACCUCGUUCUCAGCA